UUGAACUUCAUCCUUCAGUUUCCCAGCAAGAAUGCUGUACAGUAUUCCAGACCUUUUCUAAUAUUGUCAGUACUUCUUUUUUGUUAUGUUUGAUCUGAACCACAGUUUCAUGCUUGUGUUUCUUAAUAGAUUGAAAUACAAUGUGUAG